CCCCACAUUUUCCUUUGAAACCAGAUGCAGGAAUUACGAGCGCCACUACAUACAGCUUCACUUUUCUACUCCCUUCCUGAACUGCAGAAUGCUGAUAACUUCCCUUCUUACAUCCUAAUUUAGGUUAUGAAUUAUCUGCGUGAAAACAUUCCUAUGCAGUCACUUAAAGCCACUCAUGCAAUUAUGGUGGCUUGGAGGGAAUAGAUGAUUUGACAUGGAGUAGAUCUGCAGCCAAGACCCCAUCGCAAGCAGGACCUGACCUGAGUUGUUUGGAAGAGUCAUGAGCUGGGAGUGCUUGCCCUGUGGAGAGAGUAAAGAGUUCUCCAGCAAUCUGCAUUCAGCCUUAAGAGUACUUUGGAAGCUGUGUAUAGAAGAUGCUAGGGCAAUUACGUGAACUGGAAAUGUAAAGUAGCAGAGCUGAAUCUUCCUUAUUAAUGCUUCAAAAGACAUCAAAUCCCCUAACGAAGAACAGUCAGUACAGAGCAGGGCUCUCUCAUUGAUCGACUUGUCAUUUUUCUAUCUCAGCAUCACACAGGAGUGGGGAAUACAGGUGCUUUUGGGAGAAAUCCCCCAGCUCACAAAUCUGCCUUCUGUCCAGAAAGUAAGUCUCAUUCCUGCAUAAUAAAUGUGAUAGCCUGGUAAAUAUUGAGCUGAGAGAGCACAGAUCCACUCUGGUUCAACACA